rnacentral:lncRNA from 1 species
CAUGCCUGAGCGCGUGGCGGGGAGGCGCGGCUCUGACUGAGAUCGCGGCGGGCGGCGGAGCGCCGCUCCGGCCCCGAGGAGCUGCGACGGGAACAGUGAUCAGCAGUGCAAUAUUUGCACUGGACAGAGAAAUAAGCAUGAAGCCCCUUCACUAACUGUUCUCACUGCAGCAGAGGAGCCCUGGUGUGUCACAGCUGGACAGAGGCACCUCUACCUAUGGCAAGGAAGAGCUGAGGUAAGCAUGUCACAUGUAUUUCAGCUAAAUUUUUUGUUGCUGUUUCUUGGACUUUUAGAACAAAAAAGAGUACGUUGAUACUGUCUUUUGACUUCAGAAUUGAACAUAAAACACCAAUUUUGGAGAAAAACAGAAUGAAGUUACUAUUUCUCAGCUAUUCACCAGAAUAUUACUAAUACUCCCUAUGGUAAAUAAGUGUGUUCAUCUCAUUUGCAAUUAAACUAAUUUGACAUUUUUGCUUCUCUAGAAAUAAAUUGUAAAUAAACAAAUUUGGUUUCA